rnacentral:rRNA from 1 species
AGAGUUUGAUCCUGGCUCAGGAUGAACGCUGGCGGCGUGCCUAACACAUGCAAGUCGAACGGGUGUACGGGAUGGAAGGCUCCGGCCGGAAGCCCCGUGCAUGAGUGGCGGACGGGUGAGUAACGCGUGGGCAACCUGCCCUGUACAGGGGGACAACACUUAGAAAUAGGUGCUAAUACCGCAUAACGGGGGGAGCCGCAUGGCACCCCCCUGAAAACUCCGGUGGUACAGGAUGGGCCCGCGUCUGAUUAGCUAGUUGGCAGGGUAACGGCCUACCAAGGCGACGAUCAGUAGCCGGCCUGAGAGGGCGGACGGCCACACUGGGACUGAGACACGGCCCAGACUCCUACGGGAGGCAGCAGUGGGGGAUAUUGCACAAUGGGGGGAACCCUGAUGCAGCGACGCCGCGUGGGUGAAGGAGCGUUUCGGCGCGUAAAGCCCUAUCGGCAGGGAAGAAGGAGGACGGUACCUGACUAAGAAGCCCCGGCUAACUACGUGCCAGCAGCCGCGGUAAUACGUAGGGGGCAAGCGUUAUCCGGAUUUACUGGGUGUAAAGGGGGCGCAGACGGCAGCGCAAGCCAGGAGUGAAAGCCCGGGGCCCAACCCCGGGACUGCUCUUGGAACUGCGCGGCUGGAGUGCAGGAGGGGCAGGCGGAAUUCCUGGUGUAGCGGUGAAAUGCGUAGAUAUCAGGAGGAACACCGGUGGCGAAGGCGGCCUGCUGGACUGCGACUGACGUUGAGGCCCGAAAGCGUGGGGAGCAAACAGGAUUAGAUACCCUGGUAGUCCACGCCGUAAACGAUGAUUAAUAGGUGUCGGGUGGCAAAGCCAUUCGGUGCCGCAACCAACGCAAUAAGUAGUCCCCCUGGGGAGUACGUUCGCAAGAAUGAAACUCAAAAGGAAUUGACGGGGACCCGCACAAGCGGUGGAGCAUGUGGUUUAAUUCGAAGCAACGCGAAGAACCUUACCUGAUCUUGACAUCCCUCUGACCGGCAAGUAAUGUUGCCUUUCCUUCGGGACAGAGGAGACAGGUGGUGCAUGGUUGUCGUCAGCUCGUGUCGUGAGAUGUUGGGUUAAGUCCCGCAACGAGCGCAACCCUUAUCUUCAGUAGCCAGCAUUUAGGAUGGGCACUCUGGAGAGACUGCCAGGGAUAACCUGGAGGAAGGUGGGGAUGACGUCAAAUCAUCAUGCCCCUUAUGACCAGGGCUACACACGUGCUACAAUGGCGUAAACAAAGGGAAGCGAACAUGUGAGUGCAAGCGAAUCCCAAAAAUAACGUCUCAGUUCGGAUUGUAGUCUGCAACUCGACUACAUGAAGCUGGAAUCGCUAGUAAUCGCAAAUCAGAAUGUCGCGGUGAAUACGUUCCCGGGUCUUGCACACACCGCCCGUCA